AUUUAAGUAGUUUAUUAAAAAUAUUGAUUUGUGGUGUCAAUGA
rnacentral:tRNA from 1 species